rnacentral:rRNA from 1 species
UACAGAGGUCCCGAGCGUUGUUCGGAUUCAUUGGGCGUAAAGGGUGCGUAGGCGGCGGGGAAAGUUUGAUGUGAAAUCCUGGGGCUCAACCCUGGAACUGCAUUGGAUACUUCCUUGCUAGAGUACUGGAGAGGAAACUGGAAUUUACGGUGUAGCAGUGAAAUGCGUAGAGAUCGUAAGGAAGACCAGUGGCGAAGGCGAGUUUCUGGACAGUUCCUGACGCUGAGGCACGAAGGCCAGGGGAGCAAACGGG